GACGAACGCUGGCGGCGUGCCUAAUACAUGCAAGUAGAACGCUGAAGGAGGAGCUUGCUUCUCUGGAUGAGUUGCGAACGGGUGAGUAACGCGUAGGUAACCUGCCUGGUAGCGGGGGAUAACUAUUGGAAACGAUAGCUAAUACCGCAUAAGAGUGGAUGUUGCAUGACAUUUGCUUAAAAGGUGCACUUGCAUCACUACCAGAUGGACCUGCGUUGUAUUAGCUAGUUGGUGGGGUAAGGGCCCACCAAGGCGACGAUACAUAGCCGACCUGAGAGGGUGAUCGGCCACACUGGGACUGAGACACGGCCCAGACUCCUACGGGAGGCAGCAGUAGGGAAUCUUCGGCAAUGGACGGAAGUCUGACCGAGCAACGCCGCGUGAGUGAAGAAGGUUUUCGGAUCGUAAAGCUCUGUUGUAAGAGAAGAACGAGUGUGAGAGUGGAAAGUUCACACUGUGACGGUAUCUUACCAGAAAGGGACGGCUAACUACGUGCCAGCAGCCGCGGUAAUACGUAGGUCCCGAGCGUUGUCCGGAUUUAUUGGGCGUAAAGCGAGCGCAGGCGGUUAGAUAAGUCUGAAGUUAAAGGCUGUGGCUUAACCAUAGUAGGCUUUGGAAACUGUUUAACUUGAGUGCAAGAGGGGAGAGUGGAAUUCCAUGUGUAGCGGUGAAAUGCGUAGAUAUAUGGAGGAACACCGGUGGCGAAAGCGGCUCUCUGGCUUGUAACUGACGCUGAGGCUCGAAAGCGUGGGGAGCAAACAGG
rnacentral:rRNA from 1 species